rnacentral:rRNA from 1 species
ACUUUUGACGGUGGAUCUCUUGGCUCGCGCAUCGAUGAAGAACGCAGCCAGCUGCGAUAAGUAGUGUGAAUUGCAGAAUUCAGUGAAUCAUCGAAUCUUUGAACGCAAAUGGCGCUCUUGGGUUCUCCCAGGAGCAUGUCUGUCUGAGUGUCGGAUAU